AUGGAACUCUGGUAUUUAGGUACAGAUCCCACCCACAGAUGCAGUAUACGUUACACAGUCAAUAGUAGUCGUUUCCUGCACGAAAGCUCUACCACACAUAUUAAGCCAUUGCAGCAGGUGUUUGGAUCUGAAAAACUGCACAACCACUUCGUCACUUUGAAACAAUGCGGUGAGAACAGAAGGACACAGUGCGAGUCAAAGCUGUUUCAACCCACACACGGAUUUAAAUCGAGGUAA